rnacentral:rRNA from 1 species
UACGUAGGGUCCGAGCGUUGUCCGGAAUUAUUGGGCGUAAAGAGCUCGUAGGCGGUUUGUCACGUCUGCUGUGAAAACUGGAGGCUCAACCUCCAGCCUGCAGUGGGUACGGGCAGACUAGAGUGCGGUAGGGGAGAAUAGAAUUCCUGGUGUAGCGGUGGAAUGCGCAGAUAUCAGGAGGAACACCGAUGGCGAAGGCAGUUCUCUGGGCCGUAACUGACGCUGAGGAGCGAAAGCGUGGGGAGCGAACAGG